rnacentral:rRNA from 1 species
UACGUAGGGGGCAAGCGUUGUCCGGAAUCAUUGGGCGUAAAGCGCGCGUAGGCGGCCCGGUAAGUCCGCUGUAAAAGUCCAGGGCUCAACCCUGGAAAGCCGGUAGAUACUGUCGGGCUAGAGUCCGGAAGAGGCGAGUGGAAUUCCUGGUGUAGCGGUGGAAUGCGCAGAUAUCAGGAGGAACACCGAUGGCGAAGGCAGCUCGCUGGGACGGUACUGACGCUGAGGAGCGAAAGCCAGGGGAGCAAACGGG